GACGAAGGGGGCUAGCGUUGUUCGGAAUUACUGGGCGUAAAGCGAGUGUAGGCGGUUGCCCAAGUCAGGUGUGAAAGCCUUGAGCUCAACUCAAGAAAUGCACUUGGUACUGGGUGGCUAGAGGACCGGAGAGGAUAGUGGAAUUCCCAGUGUAGUGGUGAAAUACGUAGAGAUUGGGAAGAACACCAGUGGCGAAGGCGGCUAGCUGGACGGUUACUGACGCUGAGACGCGAAAGCGUGGGGAGCAAACAGG
rnacentral:rRNA from 1 species